GUGCUCGCUUCGGCAGCACAUACACUAAAAUUGGAACAAUACAGAGAAGAUUAGCAGGGCCCCUGCGCAAGAAAUAAUACACAAAUUCAUGAAGCAUUCCAUAUUUUU
ensembl:snRNA U6 U6 spliceosomal RNA